UACGAAGGGGGCUAGCGUUGCUCGGAAUCACUGGGCGUAAAGCGCACGUAGGCGGCUUUUUAAGUCAGAGGUGAAAUCCUGGAGCUCAACUCCAGAACUGCCUUUGAUACUGGAGUGCUUGAGUCCGGGAGAGGUGAGUGGAACUGCGAGUGUAGAGGUGAAAUUCGUAGAUAUUCGCAAGAACACCAGUGGCGAAGGCGGCUCACUGGCCCGGUACUGACGCUGAGGUGCGAAAGCGUGGGGAGCAACAGG
rnacentral:rRNA from 1 species